UACGAAGGGGGCUAGCGUUGCUCGGAAUUACUGGGCGUAAAGGGAGCGUAGGCGGAUAGUUUAGUCAGAGGUGAAAGCCCCAGGGCUCAACCUUGGAAUUGCCUUUGAUACUGGCUAUCUUGAGUACGGAAGAGGUAUGUGGAACUCCGAGUGUAGAGGUGAAAUUCGUAGAUAUUCGGAAGAACACCAGUGGCGAAGGCGACAUACUGGUCCGUUACUGACGCUGAGGCUCGAAAGCGUGGGGAGCAAACAGG
rnacentral:rRNA from 1 species